rnacentral:rRNA from 1 species
UACGGGGGGGGCAAGCGUUGUUCGGAAUUACUGGGCGUAAAGGGCUCGUAGGCGGCCAACUAAGUCGGAUGUGAAAUCCCCAGGCUCAACUUGGGAACUGCAUCCGAUACUGGAUGGCUUGAAUCCGGGAGAGGGAUGCAGAAUUCCAGGUGUAGCGGUGAAAUGCGUAGAUAUCUGGAGGAAGACCGGUGGCGAAGGCGGCAUCCUGGACCGGCAUUGACGCUGAUGAGCGAAAGCGAGGGGAGCAAACGGG